rnacentral:rRNA from 1 species
CACGUAGGGUGCAAGCGUUGUCCGGAAUUAUUGGGCGUAAAGGGCUCGUAGGCGGUCCGUCACGUCGGGAGUGAAAACUCGGGGCUCAACCCCGAGCCUGCUUUCGAUACGGGCGGACUAGAGGUAGGUAGGGGAGAACGGAAUUCCUGGUGUAGCGGUGGAAUGCGCAGAUAUCAGGAGGAACACCGAUGGCGAAGGCAGGUCUCUGGGCAUUAACUGACGCUGAGGAGCGAAAGCAUGGGGAGCGAACCGG